CCUACGGGCGGCAGCAGUGAGGAAUAUUGGUCAAUGGACGAGAGUCUGAACCAGCCAAGUAGCGUGAAGGAUGACUGCCCUAUGGGUUGUAAACUUCUUUUAUAUGGGAAUAAAAUGUUCCACGUGUGGGAUUUUGUAUGUACCAUAUGAAUAAGGAUCGGCUAACUCCGUGCCAGCAGCCGCGGUAAUACGGAGGAUCCGAGCGUUAUCCGGAUUUAUUGGGUUUAAAGGGAGCGUAGGUGGAUUGUUAAGUCAGUUGUGAAAGUUUGCGGCUCAACCGUAAAAUUGCAGUUGAAACUGGCAGUCUUGAGUACAGUAGAGGUGGGGGGAAUUCGUGGUGUAGCGGUGAAAUGCUUAGAUAUCACGAAGAACUCCGAUUGCGAAGGCAGUUCACUGGACUGCAACUGACACUGAGGCUCGAAAGUGUGGGUAUCAAACAGGAUUAGAUACCCGAGUAGUC
rnacentral:rRNA from 1 species